rnacentral:rRNA from 1 species
GACGAACGCUGGCGGCGCGCUUAACACAUGCAAGUCGAGCGAGAACCAGGCCUUCGGGCCUGGGGACAGCGGCGAACGGGUGAGUAACACGUGGGUAAUCAACCCUCGGUACUGGGAUAGCCCGGGGAAACCCGGAUUAAUACCGGAUGGCCCUUCGGAGCUUCGGUUCCGAAGGAAAAGGUAGCUUCGGCCUCCGACCGAGGCCGAGCCCGCGGCGGAUUAGCUUGUUGGGGGGGUAACGGCCUACCAAGGCGGCGAUCCGUAGCUGGUCUGAGAGGACGAUCAGCCACACUGGGACUGAGACACGGCCCAGACUCCUACGGGAGGCAGCAGUGGGGAAUCUUGCGCUAAUGCGGGAAACCGUGACGCAGCGACGCCGCGUGAGGGAAGAAGGCCUUCGGGUUGUAAACCUCUUUCAGGAGGGACGAAGCUACUCGGGUUAAUAGCCCAGAGGGUGACGGUACCUCCAGAAGAAGCCCCGGCUAACUACGUGCCAGCAGCCGCCGUAAGAC